AACGAACGCUGGCGGCAUGCCUAACACAUGCAAGUCGAACGAGACCUUCGGGUCUAGUGGCGCACGGGUGCGUAACGCGUGGGAAUCUGCCCUUGGGUACGGAAUAACAGUUAGAAAUGACUGCUAAUACCGUAUAAUGACUUCGGUCCAAAGAUUUAUCGCCCAAGGAUGAGCCCGCGUAGGAUUAGCUUGUUGGUGAGGUAAAAGCUCACCAAGGCGACGAUCCUUAGCUGGUCUGAGAGGAUGAUCAGCCACACUGGGACUGAGACACGGCCCAGACUCCUACGGGAGGCAGCAGUGGGGAAUAUUGGACAAUGGGCGAAAGCCUGAUCCAGCAAUGCCGCGUGGAGU
rnacentral:rRNA from 1 species